GAUGAACGCUGGCGGCGUGCCUAACACAUGCAAGUCGAGCGAACAGAUGAGGAGCUUGCUCCUCUGACGUUAGCGGCGGACGGGUGAGUAACACGUGGAUAACCUACCUAUAAGACUGGGAUAACUUCGGGAAACCGGAGCUAAUACCGGAUAAUAUAUUGAACCGCAUGGUUCAAUAGUGAAAGACGGUUUUGCUGUCACUUAUAGAUGGAUCCGCGCCGCAUUAGCUAGUUGGUAAGGUAACGGCUUACCAAGGCGACGAUGCGUAGCCGACCUGAGAGGGGGAUCGGCCACACUGGAACGGGAACACGGUCCAGACUCCUACGGGAGGCAGCAGUAGGGAAUCUUCCGCAAUGGGCGAAAGCCUGACGGAGCAACGCCGCGUGAGUGAUGAAGGUCUUCGGAUCGUAAAACUCUGUUAUUAGGGAAGAACAAAUGUGUAAGUAACUAUGCACGUCUUGACGGUACCUAAUCAGAAAGCCACGGCUAACUACGUG
rnacentral:rRNA from 1 species